GGCGGCAUGGCCAAGCGGUAAGGCAGGAGCCUGCAAAGCUCUUACCCCCGGUUCGAAUCCGGGUGCCGCCU
rnacentral:tRNA from 1 species